CAGCAGCCGCGGUAAUACCAGCUCUCCGAGUUGUGGGGACGUUUAUUGAGCCUGAAGCAUCCGUAGCCGGCUGGGCAAGUCCUCUGUUAAAUCCAGCGACUAAUCGUUGGCCUGCGGGGGAUACUGCUCGGCUAGGGGGCGGGAGAGGCCGUCGGUAUUCUUGGGGUAGGGGUGAAAUCCUAUAAUCCCAGGAGGACCACCAGUGGCGAAGGCUGUCGGCUAGAACGCGCCCGACGGUGAGGGAUGAAAGCUGGGGGAGCGAACCGGAUUAGAUACCCGGGUAGUCCCAGCUGUAAACGAUGCAGGCUAGGUGUUAGGGCGGCUACGUGCCGCUCUAGUGCCGCAGGGAAGCUGUUAAGCCUGCCGCUUGGGGAGUACGGCCGCAAGGCUGAAACUCAAAGGAAUUGACGG
rnacentral:rRNA from 1 species